rnacentral:rRNA from 1 species
UACGUAGGGUGCAAGCGUUAAUCGGAAUUACUGGGCGUAAAGCGUGCGCAGGCGGCUUUGCAAGACAGAUGUGAAAUCCCCGGGCUUAACCUGGGAACUGCAUUUGUGACUGCAUGGCUUGAGUGCGGCAGAGGGGGAUGGAAUUCCGCGUGUAGCAGUGAAAUGCGUAGAUAUGCGGAGGAACACCGAUGGCGAAGGCAAUCCCCUGGGCCUGCACUGACGCUCAUGCACGAAAGCGUGGGGAGCAAACAGG